ACUGAGUGGCGGACGGGUGAGUAACGCGUGGGUAACCUACCUUGUACAGGGGGACAACAGUUGGAAACGACUGCUAAUACCGCAUAAGCGCACAGCUUCGCAUGAAGCAGUGUGAAAAGUUUUUUCGGUACAAGAUGGACCCCGCGUCUGAUUAGCUAGUUGGUGAGGUAACGGCCCACCAAGGCGACGAUCAGUAGCCGACCUGAGAGGUGACCGGCCACAUUGGGACUGAGACACGGCCCAAACUCCUACGGGAGGCAGCAGUGGGGAAUAUUGCACAAUGGGCGAAAGCCUGAUGCAGCCGACGCCGCGUGAGCGAAGAAGUAUUUCGGUAUGUAAAGCUCUAUCAGCAGGGAAGAUAAUGACGGUACCUGACUAAGAAGCACCGGCUAAAUACGUGCCAGCCGCCGC
rnacentral:rRNA from 1 species